rnacentral:rRNA from 1 species
CUACGGGUCGCAGCAGUGAGGAAUAUUGCACAAUGGGGGGAACCCUGAUGCAGCAACGCCGCGUGGAGGAUGACGCAUUUCGGUGUGUAAACUCCUUUUAUAUGUCAAGAAAAUGACGGUAGCAUAUGAAUAAGCACCGGCUAACUCCGUGCCAGCAGCCGCGGGUAAUACGGAGGGUGCAAGCGUUACUCGGAAUCACUGGGCGUAAAGGACGCGUAGGCGGGCUGGAAAGUCAGGUGUGAAAUCCUACAGCUUAACUGUAGAACUGCACUUGAAACUUCUAAUCUAGAGUAUGGGAGGGGGAGAUGGAAUUAGUGGUGUAGGGGUAAAAUCCGUGGAUAUCACUAGGAAUACCUAAAGCGAAGGCGAUCUCCUGGAACAUUACUGACGCUAAGGCGUGAAAGCGUGGGGAGCAAACAGGAUUAGAUACCCCCGUAGUC